rnacentral:rRNA from 1 species
GACGAACGCUGGCGGCGUGCCUAAUACAUGCAAGUAGAACGCUGAAGGAGGAGCUUGCUUCUCUGGAUGAGUUGCGAACGGGUGAGUAACGCGUAGGUAACCUGCCUGGUAGCGGGGGAUAACUAUUGGAAACGAUAGCUAAUACCGCAUAAGAGUAGAUGUUGCAUGACAUUUGCUUAAAAGGUGCAAUUGCAUCACUACCAGAUGGACCUGCGUUGUAUUAGCUAGUUGGUGGGGUAACGGCUCACCAAGGCGACGAUACAUAGCCGACCUGAGAGGGUGAUCGGCCACACUGGGACUGAGAGACGGCCCAGACUCCUACGGGAGGCAGCAGUAGGGAAUCUUCGGCAAUGGACGGAAGUCUGACCGAGCAACGCCGCGUGAGUGAAGAAGGUUUUCGGAUCGUAAAGCUCUGUUGUAAGAGAAGAACGAGUGUGAGAGUGGAAAGUUCACACUGUGACGGUAUCUUACCAGAAAGGGACGGCUAACUACGUG